GGCUCAGUAGCUUAGUUGGUAAAGUACUCGUCUAGCAUACAAAAGUCGUAAGUUCGAAUCUCAUUUGGGCAC
rnacentral:tRNA from 1 species